UACGUAGGGGGCAAGCGUUGUCCGGAAUCAUUGGGCGUAAAGCGCGUGUAGGCGGCUUGGUAAGUCCGCUCUGAAAGCCUGGGGCUCAACCCCGGGAGGCGGGUGGAUACUGUCAAGCUCGAGUCCGGAAGAGGCGAGUGGAAUUCCUGGUGUAGCGGUGAAAUGCGCAGAUAUCAGGAGGAACACCAAUGGCGAAGGCAGCUCGCUGGGACGUGACUGACGCUGGAGACGCGAAAGCGUGGGGAGCAAACAGG
rnacentral:rRNA from 1 species